rnacentral:rRNA from 1 species
AUUGAACGCUGGCGGCAGGCCUAACACAUGCAAGUCGAGCGGAUGAAGGGAGCUUGCUCCUGGAUUCAGCGGCGGACGGGUGAGUAAUGCCUAGGAAUCUGCCUGGUAGUGGGGGAUAACGUCCGGAAACGGGCGCUAAUACCGCAUACGUCCUGAGGGAGAAAGUGGGGGAUCUUCGGACCUCACGCUAUCAGAUGAGCCUAGGUCGGAUUAGCUAGUUGGUGGGGUAAAGGCCUACCAAGGCGACGAUCCGUAACUGGUCUCAGAGGAUGAUCAGUCACACUGGAACUGAGACACGGUCCAGACUCCUACGGGAGGCAGCAGUGGGGAAUAUUGGACAAUGGGCGAAAGCCUGAUCCAGCCAUGCCGCGUGUGUGAAGAAGGUCUUCGGAUUGUAAAGCACUUUAAGUUGGGAGGAAGGGCAGUAAGUUAAUACCUUGCUGUUUUGACGUUACCAACAGAAUAAGCACCGGCUAACUUCGUG